rnacentral:misc_RNA from 1 species
AGCGAAUAUACCUGCCAUUUCUCAAUUUGAUUCUUCCCUCAAGCUCUCUUUUUGUCCGAACUCAUCGCUCCACAGUCUACCCUUUUCUUCUUGCAGGCAGGCUUUACCCAGAUUGUAGUUCUUAAGAUAGAUGUGCAUAUUUUGGUGCCUAACCAAACACUGUUGUUAGGUUUCAAAGGAAAGGACAGGGGCAAUAUUCAUAAAACAAGGGUUAUCAUCCAUUAUGGCACAUUUACUUUCAACUUCUUGCUCCUUAAAGUUGUCCACUAGCUGCAGAUCUUACCCUCAAGCAUUGAACGGAUGCCCAAAAACAUGUUCUACCUUUUUUACAAUGCAAACUUCAAAAUCUUCUUUUAGAAGGCUUGUCUUCCGAGGAGAGAUACCAAAAAGAAGUUUUAUAGUCCAAGCAGCUGCAGUGCCUGUAACCCAAGAAGCUCCAACACAAUCCAGCUCCAAUUCCCACCAGACCUCUGGUGAACCAUCCAAGCCAAGGCGGGUUAUGGUCAUUGGUGGAGAUGGCUACUGUGGUUGGGCCACUGCCCUCCACCUAUCCAACAAAGGUUAUGAGGUUGCUAUAGUUGACAGCCUCAUCCGUCGUCUUUUUGACCACCAACUUGGUCUAGACUCUCUGACCCCUAUCUCUUCCAUCCACAACCGGCUACGUUGUUGGAAAUCACUCACUGGAAAAACUAUUGAACUCCAUAUUGGUGAUAUUUGUGACUUUGAAUUCUUAUCAGAAACAUUCAAGUCAUUUGAGCCUGAUGCUGUUGUCCAUUUUGGGGAACAGCGCUCAGCCCCUUAUUCAAUGAUUGAUAGGUCUAGAGCUGUUUUUACUCAGCACAACAAUGUGAUCGGAACACUUAAUGUUCUCUUUGCUAUAAAGGAAUUUGUAGAGCAGUGCCAUCUGGUGAAGCUUGGGACAAUGGGAGAGUAUGGAACACCAAACAUUGAUAUUGAGGAGGGUUAUAUAACAAUUACCCAUAAUGGAAGAACAGACACUUUGCCUUACCCUAAGCAAGCCAGCUCUUUCUACCAUCUUAGCAAGGUACAUGACUCAAAUAAUAUAGCCUUCACUUGCAAGGCUUGGGGAAUUAGAGCUACCGAUCUAAACCAAGGAGUGGUUUAUGGAGUGAGGACUGAUGAGACAGAGAUGCAUGAAGAACUUUGCAACAGGUUUGAUUAUGAUGGAGUAUUUGGAACUGCAUUGAAUCGGUUUUGUGUCCAGGCUGCUGUUGGACAUCCACUUACUGUAUAUGGGAAAGGGGGCCAGACCAGGGGCUACCUUGACAUAAGGGAUACAGUUCAGUGUGUGGAACUUGCCAUUGCAAACCCUGCAAGACCUGGAGAGUUUCGGGUCUUCAAUCAAUUUACUGAGCAGUUUUCUGUCAAUGAACUUGCUUCCCUUGUAACAAAAGCGGGAGAGAAGCUUGGUCUGGAUGUGAAAACAAUAUCUGUGCCCAAUCCACGAGUGGAGGCAGAAGAACAUUACUACAAUGCCAAGCACACUAAGCUUAUUGAGUUGGGACUCAAACCACACCUUCUUUCAGACUCUCUUCUUGACUCAUUGCUUAACUUUGCUAUAAAGUUCAAGGAUCGUGUUGAUGCUAAACAGAUAAUGCCCGAUGUUUCAUGGAGGAAAAUUGGUGUUAAGCCAAAGACUGUUGCAGCAUGAAUAAGUAAACAUAUGUUAGGGACUUACACUACAAAAAAUCAUCAUCAAGCUUGAUCUUCUGUCAUUUCUUGUUAUCUUCUAUGGCAGAUGAUACUGCUUUUUUAACUUUCACUAAAUGCUAUGCUUAGUUUUUAUUAGUUGUAAUAUAUACAUGUUAAUUAGUGAAC